CUUUGCUUGGUGGUGAGAGUGGCGAACGGGUGAGUAAUGCGUGACCGACCUGCCCCAUACACCGGAAUAGCUCCUGGAAACGGGUGGUAAUGCCGGAUGCUCCAGUUGAUCGCAUGGUCUUCUGGGAAAGCUUUCGCGGUAUGGGAUGGGGUCGCGUCCUAUCAGCUUGACGGCGGGGUAACGGCCCACCGUGGCUUCGACGGGUAGCCGGCCUGAGAGGGCGACCGGCCACAUUGGGACUGAGAUACGGCCCAGACUCCUACGGGAGGCAGCAGUGGGGAAUAUUGCACAAUGGGCGCAAGCCUGAUGCAGCGACGCCGCGUGAGGGAUGGAGGCCUUCGGGUUGUAAACCUCUUUUAUCGGGGAGCAAGCGAGAGUGAGUUUACCCGUUGAAUAAGCACCGGCUAACUACGUGCCAGCAGCCGCGGUAAUACGUAGGGUGCAAGCGUUAUCCGGAAUUAUUGGGCGUAAAGGGCUCGUAGGCGGUUCGUCGCGUCCGGUGUGAAAGUCCAUCGCUUAACGGUGGAUCCGCGCCGGGUACGGGCGGGCUUGAGUGCGGUAGGGGAGACUGGAAUUCCCGGUGUAACGGUGGAAUGUGUAGAUAUCGGGAAGAACACCAAUGGCGAAGGCAGGUCUCUGGGCCGUUACUGACGCUGAGGAGCGAAAGCGUGGGGAGCGAACAGGAUUAGAUACCCUGGUAGUCCACGCCGUAAACGGUGGAUGCUGGAUGUGGGGCCCGUUCCACGGGUUCCGUGUC
rnacentral:rRNA from 1 species